GUGAACCUACGGGGCGCAGCAGUGAGGAAUAUUGGUCAAUGGCCGGAAGGCUGAACCAGCCACGCCGCGUGAAGGACGAAGGCGCCAAGCAUUGUAAACUUCUUUUGUCAAGGGACAAAAUCAGGCUCGAGAGCCUGACCGAGGGUCCUUGAAGAAAAAGCAUCGGCUAACUCCGUGCCAGCAGCCGCGGUAAUACGGAGGAUGCGAGCGUUAUCCGGAUUUAUUGGGUUUCAAG
rnacentral:rRNA from 1 species